CAAUAGCGUAUAUUUAAGUUGUUGCAGUUAAAAAGCUCGUAGUUGGAUUUCGGUUGAGAACGGCCGGUCCGCCGUUUGGUGUGCACUGGCUGGUUUCAACUUCCUGUAGAGGACGCGCUCUGGCUUCACGGCUGGACGCGGAGUCUACGUGGUUACUUUGAAAAAAUUAGAGUGUUCAAAGCGGGCUUACGCUUGAAUAUUUCAGCAUGGAAUAACACUAUAGGACUCCUGUCCUAUUUCGUUGGUCUCGGGACGGGAGUAAUGAUUAAGAGGAACAGUUGGGGGCAUUCGUAUUUCAUUGUCAGAGGUGAAAUUCUUGGAUUUAUGAAAGACGAACUUCUGCGAAAGCAUUUGCCAAGGAUGUUUNCAUUAA
rnacentral:rRNA from 1 species